GUGUCCAAUCUCUAUGUGCCUAUCAGACAGUCCAUUUUUACAUGUACCAAAAAAUAAUUAGCUCCCCAGAUGUAAGUGGAAGUGAAGUUAUACAUGUUAUAUGUUUCGAUGAAAUGAAUGACUUGAUUAGAUAUACAUGUAGUGGAGACCCUAUAGAUACAGUACAUGUAACUGGAACUGUAGGAAGUAUUCAAAGAGUCUGAUUGCUAAGUAUGCAUUACAGGAUUUUAUCAUUGGAGCAACAUCUUAGGAGGAGAAGUGCAAAUGUAUGAAGGAAUCCUUGGGUACAAAUAGCAAUUAUAUGCAGAAGAGGACUCUUAAACAUUAUUAACAGACAUGUAGUCAUAGUAGUGGUGUUUUCAAGAAACGUAAACCAACUGGAAUUAACAAUUGUGUAUAUUUUUUCAACCACAAGUACUUUCAGAAUAUAAUACAAUUCAAAUUCAAAUUAUUGUGUCAACAUACAAGUUACAGUAAAAAAAUGAAAAUG